UCCAAGCUAGCCCUGGACCGGUCACUAGAAGGCAACUAUCUUUGGCUAUGGCUGAGGAUGCAGCACUGGAGCAUAUGGUGUCGCCACCACGAGAUGUCGAGAAGAUCGCUCCGAAGAAGAUAACACCAAGGAAGAAGAAAAGAAACUAGCUUUGACAAGUUCUGGGUGUUGCUGUUGGUUAUUUGUGAGAUGUGGACUCACUAAAAUACGUAUGCUAUGAAUGUUGGUCCUUUUGUGAUGCAACCAAAAACAUCAGAUUUGUAUUCCUUUUGUGAUGCAACUAAAAACAUCAAUUUCUGCUCC